UACGUAGGGGGCGAGCGUUGUCCGGAUUCAUUGGGCGUAAAGCGCGCGUAGGCGGCUCCGCAAGUCGGCCGUGAAAUCUCCGGGCUCAACUCGGAGGGGUCGGGCGAGACUGCGGGGCUCGAGGUGGGCAGAGGGCAGUGGAAUUCCGGGUGUAGUGGUGGAAUGCGUAGAGAUCCGGAGGAACACCAGUGGCGAAGGCGGCUGCCUGGGCCUGGCCUGACGCUGAGGCGGCGAAAAGCGUGGGGAGCAAUCCGGG
rnacentral:rRNA from 1 species